GGGUGCAUGGUCUAGUGGUAUGAUUUCUGUUUUGCAUUGCCUGCUCGUCUAUGAUUCAUACAUUUCAUAGUCACCGUGUCGAAGCUCAUACAGACGGUCCCGCGUUCGAUCCGCGGUGCAUCCA